CCCUUAGAUGUUCUGGGCCGCACGCGCGCUACACUGAUGCAUUCAACGGGUCUAAAACCUGGUCUGAUAGGGCUGGGUAAUCUUUUGAAUGUGCAUCGUGAUUGGGAUAGAUGAUUGCAAUUCUUCAUCUUCAACGAGGAAUGCCUAGUAAACGCAAGUCAUCAGCUUGCAUUGAUUAUGUCCCUGCCCUUUGUACACACCGCCCGUCGCUCCUACCGAUUGAAUGUUCCGAUGAAUACCAUGGACUGAGAGUAUGAAUGGGUUCGCCUAUUUCUGCUUCUCGGGAAGUGGAGUAAAUCUUAACAUUUAGAGGAAGGAGAAGUCGUAACA
rnacentral:rRNA from 1 species